CAUGUACUCCCUCGGUCCGGAAAUACUUGUCAUCAAAAUGAAUAAAAGGGGAUGUAUAUAGACAUAUUUUAGUUCUAGAUACAUCUCUUUUUAUCCAUUUUGAUGAUAAGUAUUUUCGGACGGAGGAAGUAGCUA
rnacentral:pre_miRNA from 1 species